rnacentral:rRNA from 1 species
GACGAACGCUGGCGGCGUGCCUAAUACAUGCAAGUAGAACGCACAGUUUAUACCGUAGCUUGCUACACCAUAAACUGUGAGUUGCGAACGGGUGAGUAACGCGUAGGUAACCCGCCUGGUAGCGGGGGAUAACUAUUGGAAACGAUAGCUAAUACCGCAUAAUAUUAAUUAUUGCAUGAUAAUUGAUUGAAAGAUGCAAUUGCAUCACUACCAGAUGGACCUGCGUUGUAUUAGCUAGUAGGUGAGGUAACGGCUCACCUAGGCGACGAUACAUAGCCGACCUGAGAGGGUGAUCGGCCACACUGGGACUGAGACACGGCCCAGACUCCUACGGGAGGCAGCAGUAGGGAAUCUUCGGCAAUGGACGAAAGUCUGACCGAGCAACGCCGCGUGAGUGAAGAAGGUUUUCGGAUCGUAAAGCUCUGUUGUAAGAGAAGAACGGGUGUGAGAGUGGAAAGUUCACACUGUGACGGUAUCUUACCAGAAAGGGACGGCUAACUACGUG